rnacentral:ncRNA from 1 species
GUAAAUAAUGGAAAUUAUACCUGUAUAUGCUUAGAAAUAAGGUCUAAGUGUUUCUACCGGACUACCGUAAAUUGUCUGACUAUGGGUGUUUAUAGAUAUUCG